ACUCAAAUGAAUUGACGGGGGCCCGCACAAGCGGUGGAGCAUGUGGUUUAAUUCGAUGCAACGCGCAGAACCUUACCAGCCCUUGACAUGGGAAGUAUGGGUCAGAGAGAUCUGACUCUUCAGUUCGGCUGGCUUCCACACAGGUGCUGCAUGGCUGUCGUCAGCUCGUGUCGUGAGAUGUUGGGUUAAGUCCCGCAACGAGCGCAACCCUCACCUUCAGUUGCCAUCAGGUUAAGCUGGGCACUCUGAAGGAACUGCCGGUGACAAGCCGGAGGAAGGCGGGGAUGACGUCAAGUCCUCAUGGCCCUUACGGGCUGGGCUACACACGUGCUACAAUGGUGGUGACAGUGGGAUGCAACGCAGCAAUGCCGAGCCGAUCUCAAAAAGCCAUCUCAGUUCAGAUUGCACUCUGCAACUCGAGUGCAUGAAGGUGGAAUCGCUAGUAAUCGUGGAUCAGCAUGCCACGGUGAAUACGUUCCCGGGCCUUGUACACACCGCCCGU
rnacentral:rRNA from 1 species